rnacentral:rRNA from 1 species
GGAAUAUUGCACAAUGGGCGAAAGCCUGAUGCAGCAACGCCGCGUGAGGGACGAAGGCCUUCGGGUCGUAAACCUCUUUUCUGGGGGACGAGUAAGGACGGUACUCCAGGAAUAAGUCUCGCCUAACUACGUGCCAGCAGCCGCGGUAAAACGUAGGAGGCGAGCGUUAUCCGGAUUUACUGGGCGUAAAGCGUACGCAGGUGGCUUCGUUAGUCGGACAUGAAAGCUCCUGACUUAACUGGGAGAGGUCGUUCGAUGCUGCGGGCGAUGGGAUUGGGAGAGGGACGAGGAAUAAACGGUGUAAUGGUGGAAUGUGUAGAUAUCGGGAGAAUAACCAGUGGCGCAAGCGGCGUCCUGGAGCACACCUGACGCUGAGGUACGAAAGCGUGGG